rnacentral:rRNA from 1 species
GAAAAGAACAACAGGGAUUGCCCUAGUAACGGCGAGUGAAGCGGCAACAGCUCAAAUUUGAAAUCUGGCUCUUUCAGAGUCCGAGUUGUAAUUUGCAGAGGGCGCUUUGGCUUUGGCAGCGGUCCAAGUUCCUUGGAACAGGACGUCACAGAGGGUGAGAAUCCCGUACGUGGUCGCUAGCUAUUGCCGUGUAAAGCCCCUUCGACGAGUCGAGUUGUUUGGGAAUGCAGCUCUAAAUGGGAGGUAAAUUUCUUCUAAAGCUAAAUAUUGGCCAGAGACCGAUAGCGCACAAGUAGAGUGAUCGAAAGAUGAAAAGCACUUUGGAAAGAGAGUCAAACAGCACGUGAAAUUGUUGAAAGGGAAGCGCUUGCAGCCAGACUUGCUUGCAGUUGCUCAUCCGGGCUUUUGCCCGGUGCACUCUUCUGCAGGCAGGCCAGCAUCAGUUUGGGCGGUGGGAUAAAGGUCUCUGUCACGUACCUCUCUUCGGGGAGGCCUUAUAGGGGAGGCGACAUACCACCAGCCUGGACUGAGGUCCGCGCAUCUGCUAGGAUGCUGGCGUAAUGGCUGUAAGCGGCCCGUCUUGAAACACGGACCAAGGAGUCUAACAUCUAUGCGAGUGUUUGGGUGUCAAGCCCGAGCGCGUAAUGAAAGUGAACGGAGGUGGGAACCCGCAAGGGCGCACCAUCGACCGAUCCUGAAGUUUACGGAAGGAUUUGAGUAAGAGCAUGGCUGUUGGGACCCGAAAGAUGGUGAACUAUGCUUGAAUAGGGUGAAGCCAGANGAAACUCUGGUGGAGGCUCGCAGCGGUUCUGACGUGCAAAUCGAUCGUCAAAUUUGGGCAUAGGGGCGAAAGACUAAUCGAA